GAGGGUACAGCUCAGUGGUAGAGUGCACGCUUAGCACACAUAAGUUCCUGGGUUCAAUCCCAGUUACCUCC
rnacentral:tRNA from 1 species